GACAGAGGAUGCAAGCGUUAUCCGGAAUGAUUGGGCGUAAAGCGUCUGUAGGUGGCUUUUUAAGUCUGCCGUCAAAUCCCAGGGCUUAACCCUGGACAGGCGGUGGAAACUACCAAGCUGGAGUACGGUAGGGGCAGAGGGAAUUUCCGGUGGAGCGGUGAAAUGCGUAGAGAUCGGAAAGAACACCAAGGGCGAAGGCACUCUGCUGGGCCGACACUGACACUGAGAGACGAGAGCUAGGGGAGCAAAUGGG
rnacentral:rRNA from 1 species